rnacentral:rRNA from 1 species
UACGUAGGGUGCAAGCGUUGUCCGGAUUUAUUGGGCGUAAAGAGCUCGUAGGCGGUUUGUCGCGUCGGAUGUGAAAACCCAGGGCUCAACCCUGGGCCUGCAUUCGAUACGGGCAGACUAGAGUAUGGCAGGGGAGACUGGAAUUCCUGGUGUAGCGGUGAAAUGCGCAGAUAUCAGGAGGAACACCGGUGGCGAAGGCGGGUCUCUGGGAAGUAACUGACGCUGAGAAGCGAAAGCAUGGGUAGCAAACAGG